GAGUUUGAUCGUGGCUCAGAACGAACGCUGGCGGCGUGCCUAACACAUGCAAGUCGAGCGGGAAAGUUCCCUUCGGGGAGCGAGUACAGCGGCGAACGGGUGAGUAACACGUAGGUAACCUACCCUGGAGACUGGGAUAACCUGCCGAAAGGCGGGACUAAUACCAGAUAAGACCACGAGGCUGCGGCCCUUGGGGAAAAAGAUGGCCUAUGCUUGCAAGCUAUCACUCCGGGAUGGGCCUGCGCGCCAUUAGCUAGUUGGUGAGGUAACGGCUCACCAAGGCUGAGAUGGCUAGCUGGUCUGAGAGGAUGGCCAGCCACACUGGGACUGAGACACGGCCCAGACUCCUACGGGAGGCAGCAGUGGGGAAUAUUGCGCAAUGGGCG
rnacentral:rRNA from 1 species